AUGAACGCUGGCGGCGUGCCUAAUACAUGCAAGUCGAGCGAACAGACGAGGAGCUUGCUCCUCUGACGUUAGCGGCGGACGGGUGAGUAACACGUGGAUAACCUACCUAUAAGACUGGGAUAACUUCGGGAAACCGGAGCUAAUACCGGAUAAUAUAUUGAACCGCAUGGUUCAAUAGUGAAAGACGGUUUUGCUGUCACUUAUAGAUGGAUCCGCGCCGCAUUAGCUAGUUGGUAAGGUAACGGCUUACCAAGGCGACGAUGCGUAGCCGACCUGAGAGGGUGAUCGGCCACACUGGAACUGAGACACGGUCCAGACUCCUACGGGAGGCAGCAGUAGGGAAUCUUCCGCAAUGGGCGAAAGCCUGACGGAGCAACGCCGCGUGAGUGAUGAAGGUCUUCGGAUCGUAAAACUCUGUUAUUAGGGAGGAACAAAUGUGUAAGUAACUAUGCACGUCUUGACGGUACCUAAUCAGAAAGCCACGGCUAACUACGUG
rnacentral:rRNA from 1 species